CAACACCAUUCCUUUAUUAAAAAAACAACGCACUCUGCACACUCUGUUUUUAAAUCACGUACAUUUACGUGGAUGCUCACACACAAAUGUUUCACAGAACGGCCAGGGUUGGAAGGAACCUCAAGGAUAACGAAUCUCCAUGAAUUUCAGAAGAUCCGACAGCUCGUCCAGGAUUAAUUUCCAGUUGUAGGGUCUUAAACCCAUCCGAAAGAAACAAAAUGCUGAAUAGCAUUGCUGGACUCCCCGCUGCUCAGGGGAGACCAAGGCAAAACGCUGCACCCGGGCGGAGCUCCCCCAUUCCUGCACGGCAAGGGAGAUCGCGGCUCACAGCUCAGCUCAGGAAGGCGCACGUAGGGCGCAUGCGUGGCCCAGCCGCUCGGGCGGGCAAAUUCAAACCUGCCCUCGCGCCCCUCCGCUCCGCAAGGUAGCGGUUCAGCUGACGUCAUUGUGCCGCGUCCUUCUCCAUGGUUUCCGGCGCUCGUGCGCGCGGAGCGGGCGGGCGCUCUCCACAUCCCUUCCUGCCGCCGUGGGGCCUGUGAGCUCCGGCUGGAGGCUGUCAGAACGACGCCGGCGAUGGCAGCGGGGCGCAUGGAGGCGGCCGCAUCGCGGGUGGCCGUGCUGGAGGAAGAGCUGCGGUGCCUGGCGGAGGAGCUGAGCCGCUGCCAGUAUGAAGAUCUGCAGUAUCAGAUGAAGUUUGGUGGAGGCAGAUCAAAGACCCUCUUCAUGUUUGUUAAUUGAAUCUAUAUUAUUUGAGAGCUGCUCCAAAAGUAAUGCUUUCUAUUUUAUUAUGUUGGCCAACGACAUCAGAGGCAAAUAUCGGUGGUAUGGCAGUUAGAAGUUGAAUCUCCUGACCAGUAUUCCAUUGUAUGCUGUUACUAUGCGACAGAUGGCAGACCAUGUCUGACAAAGUGAUAUUUGACAUAGAGGUACAUCUGAAGCAAAGGUAUGGAAUUGAAUUCCUCCAUUUGGAAAGAUUUGUACGUAUUGACAUCAGUAUUGGCAUGCUUCAGCAGUGGCAGCACUGCCAUGCUGCCAGAAAAUCUGUGUUCUGAAUGACCAUGCACUGCUGUCACCAUGAAAUGAAGAGCUUCUUGGUCAGCCCAUCUGGGUGAAUCAUCUGAUGGUGAUGACUGCAAUGAAAAACAAUGUUCUGUAGCUGAGAAUUUGCUCUAUCAAGUAGUGCUAUUGUGCUCCUGGUAUCUGUUGUAGUUUCUGUGGAAAUAAAUAGGAGGCAUUACUUUUGGAAUGUAGUCAUGUAAGAUAUUUAUUAAAGUGGGUUAUAAAAAUUA